AGCAUAGUCAGCUAACCUAAGCUCUUGGGCCCAUACCCCAAAAAUGUUGGCCAAAACCAACCCAUGCUA
rnacentral:tRNA from 1 species